AAGUUUGACCAAAAAGCCUACAGAGAUGAUAUUCAUCAGAAAGAAAGAACAAUAAUGAUACUAAUUUAACAUGACAUUACUGGACUCAAAAACAAGCUGCAUAAUUUCUAAGGCUAGAACUGAAAUAAAAUUUUCAUCUCCAAUAUUCAGGAACCGCUCACUUUCUCUAAACUUUCUACUGACCUGUAGUCCCUGCAAUAAAUUAUAAAUAUUAAUCGAACUUUCAAUAUCUAAUACCCA
rnacentral:lncRNA from 1 species